rnacentral:rRNA from 1 species
AUACGUAGGGUGCAAGCGUUAAUCGGAAUUACUGGGCGUAAAGCGUGCGCAGGCGGUUUUGUAAGACAGUGGUGAAAUCCCCGGGCUCCACCUGGGAACUGCCAUUGUGACUGCAAGGCUGGAGUGCGGCAGAGGGGGCUGGAAUUCCGCGUGGAGCCGGGACAUGCGUAGAUAUGCGGAGGAACACCGAUGGCGAAGGCAAUCCCCUGGGCCUGCACUGACGCUCAUGCACGAAAGCGUGGGGAGCAAACAGGAUUAGAUACCCUGGUAGUCCACGCCCUAAACGAUGUCAACUGGUUGUUGGGGAUUUAUUUUCUCAGUAACGAAGCUAACGCGUGAAGUUGACCGCCUGGGGAGUACGGCCGCAAGGUUAAAACUCAAAUGAAUUGACGGGG